UUGCAGCUAGUGGUGUUCCGCUACCAGCUCCAGGUCCAGUUCAAUUUGGUCCGACUAGCUCACCUCUUUCACCUGAUGCUUCUGCUCCUUUUAGUCCCACAGCUUCAAAAGCAGCAGAAAUGGCUUCACCACCAGUUGAUGAUACAACAACACCAGCAUCUCCGCCGGUGAGUUUGGUAGCUCCAAAAGCAACACCUGGUAUUCGACCAGUCGUGACUCCAACCUCAAUCUCAGCUUCUAAUCCAUCCUACAUCCCCUCACCAUUUGUCCUGCUUGUAUUCAUCGGAAUCAUACAUGGUUUUUAAGUGCUAUUAAUUUUUCUCUUGAUAAUAAAAAUAAAAAAAGCGUCAUCUUAUGCUUCUUUGUGUUUUUCUGCUCAUGCGUUCGGGUUGAGUUUUGCUGCUAUCAGUAAAUAUGUAGUCAUGUCCUUUCAUUCUAAUUUAUGCCAUUUUUUAUUCUAUUUUAGAAAAA